GAUGAUGCCCAGCUUGCUGGGCGGAUUAGUGGCGAACGGGUGAGUAAUACGUGAGUAACCUGCCCUUGACUCUGGGAUAAGCCUGGGAAACUGGGUCUAAUACUGGAUACUACCUCUUGCCGCAUGGUGGGUGGUGGAAAGGGUUUUACUGGUUUUGGAUGGGCUCACGGCCUAUCAGCUUGUUGGUGGGGUAAUGGCUCACCAAGGCGACGACGGGUAGCCGGCCUGAGAGGGUGACCGGCCACACUGGGACUGAGACACGGCCCAGACUCCUACGGGAGGCAGCAGUGGGGAAUAUUGCACAAUGGGCGGAAGCCUGAUGCAGCGACGCCGCGUGAGGGAUGACGGCCUUCGGGUUGUAAACCUCUUUCAGUAGGGAAGAAGCGAGAGUGACGGUACCUGCAGAAGAAGCGCCGGCUAACUACGUGCCAGCAGCCGCGGUAAUACGUAGGGCGCAAGCGUUGUCCGGAAUUAUUGGGCGUAAAGAGCUCGUAGGCGGUUUGUCGCGUCUGCUGUGAAAGCCCGGGGCUCAACCCCGGGUCUGCAGUGGGUACGGGCAGACUAGAGUGCAGUAGGGGAGACUGGAAUUCCUGGUGUAGCGGUGAAAUGCGCAGAUAUCAGGAGGAACACCGAUGGCGAAGGCAGGUCUCUGGGCUGUUACUGACGCUGAGGAGCGAAAGCAUGGGGAGCGAACAGGAUUAGAUACCCUGGUAGUCCAUGCCGUAAACGUUGGGCACUAGGUGUGGGGGACAUUCCACGUUUUCCGCGCCGUAGCUAACGCAUUAAGUGCCCCGCCUGGGGAGUACGGCCGCAAGGCUAAAACUCAAAGGAAUUGACGGGGGCCCGCACAAGCGGCGGAGCAUGCGGAUUAAUUCGAUGCAACGCGAAGAACCUUACCAAGGCUUGACAUUCACCGGACCGCCCCAGAGAUGGGGUUUCCCUUCGGGGCUGGUGGACAGGUGGUGCAUGGUUGUCGUCAGCUCGUGUCGUGAGAUGUUGGGUUAAGUCCCGCAACGAGCGCAACCCUCGUUCUAUGUUGCCAGCACGUGAUGGUGGGGACUCAUAGGAGACUGCCGGGGUCAACUCGGAGGAAGGUGGGGAUGACGUCAAAUCAUCAUGCCCCUUAUGUCUUGGGCUUCACGCAUGCUACAAUGGCCGGUACAAAGGGUUGCGAUACUGUGAGGUGGAGCUAAUCCCAAAAAGCCGGUCUCAGUUCGGAUUGAGGUCUGCAACUCGACCUCAUGAAGUCGGAGUCGCUAGUAAUCGCAGAUCAGCAACGCUGCGGUGAAUACGUUCCCGGGCCUUGUACACACCGCCCGUCAAGUCACGAAAGUUG
rnacentral:rRNA from 1 species